CACGUAGGGGGGCAAGCGUUGUCCGGAUUUAUUGGGCGUAAAAGAGCUCGUAGGCGGUUUUCGUAAGUCGGGUGUGAAAAAACUCUAGCUCAACCAUAGAGACGCCACCCCGAUACUGCGAUGACUAGAGUCCGGUAGGGGGAGUGUGGAAUUCCUGGUGUAGCGGUGGAAUGCGUAGAGAUCCGGAGGAAACACCCAGCGGCGAAGGCGGCAUCCUGGACUGGUCCUGACACUCAGGAGCGAAAAGCGUGGGGGAGCGAUCC
rnacentral:rRNA from 1 species